GGGUUGUGAGGUUAAGCGACUAAGCGUACACGGUGGAUGCCUAGGCAGUCAGAGGCGAUGAAGGGCGUGCUAAUCUGCGAUAAGCGUCGGUAAGCUGAUAUGAAGCGUUAUACCCGACGAUACCCGAAUGGGGAAACCCAGUGUGUUUCGACACACUAUCAUUAUGUGAAUCCAUAGCGUAAUGAGGCGAACCGGGGGAACUGAAACAUCUCAGUACCCCGAGGAAAAGAAAUCAACCGAGAUUCCCCCAGUAGCGGCGAGCGAACGGGGAAGAGCCCAGAACCUGAAUCAGUUUGUGUGUUAGUGGAAGCGUCUGGAAAGUCGCACAGUAAAGGGUGAUAGUCCCGUACACAAAAAUGCACAAGUUGUGAGUUCGAUGAGUAGGGCGGGACACGUGACAUCCUGUCUGAAUAUGGGGGGACCAUCCUCCAAGGCUAAAUACUCCUGACUGACCGAUAGUGAACCAGUACCGUGAGGGAAAGGCGAAAAGAACCCCGGCGAGGGGAGUGAAAUAGAACCUGAAACCGUGUACGUACAAGCAGUGGGAGCACCCUUUGGGGUGUGACUGCGUACCUUUUGUAUAAUGGGUCAGCGACUUAUAUUCUGUAGCAAGGUUAACCGAAUAGGGGAGCCGCAGGGAAACCGAGUCUUAACUGGGCGUUAAGUUGCAGGGUAUAGACCCGAAACCCGGUGAUCUAGCCAUGGGCAGGUUGAAGGUUGGGUAACACUAACUGGAGGACCGAACCGACUAAUGUUGAAAAAUUAGCGGAUGACUUGUGGCUGGGGGUGAAAGGCCAAUCAAACCGGGAGAUAGCUGGUUCUCCCCGAAAGCUAUUUAGGUAGCGCCUCGUGAAUUCAUCUUCGGGGGUAGAGCACUGUUUCGGCUAGGGGGUCAUCCCGACUUACCAACCCGAUGCAAACUACGAAUACCGAAGAAUGUUAUCACGGGAGACACACGGCGGGUGCUAACGUUCGUCGUGAAGAGGGAAACAACCCAGACCGCCAGCUAAGGUCCCAAAGUCAUGGUUAAGUGGGAAACGAUGUGGGAAGGCAUAGACAGCCAGGAUGUUGGCUUAGAAGCAGCCAUCAUUUAAAGAAAGCGUAAUAGCUCACUGGUCGAGUCGGCCUGCGCGGAAGAUGUAACGGGGCUAAACCAUGCACCGAAGCUGCGGCAGCGACACUUAGUGUUGUUGGGUAGGGGAGCGUUCUGUAAGCCUGCGAAGGUGGCCUGUGAGGGUUGCUGGAGGUAUCAGAAGUGCGAAUGCUGACAUAAGUAACGAUAAUGCGGGUGAAAAACCCGCACGCCGGAAGACCAAGGGUUCCUGUCCAACGUUAAUCGGGGCAGGGUGAGUCGACCCCUAAGGCGAGGCUGAAAAGCGUAGUCGAUGGGAAACAGGUUAAUAUUCCUGUACUGGGUGUUACUGCGAAGGGGGGACGGAGAAAGCUAGGUUAUCCGGGCGACGGUUGUCCCGGUUUAAGCGUGAAGGUGGGUGACUUUGGUAAAUCCGGGUCAUCAUUAACACUGAGGCGUGAUGACGAGUCACUACGGUGAUGAAGUAACUGAUGCUACGCUUCCAGGAAAAGCCUCUAAGCUCCAGGUAACACCGAAUCGUACCCCAAACCGACACAGGUGGUCAGGUAGAGAAUACUCAGGCGCUUGAGAGAACUCGGGUGAAGGAACUAGGCAAAAUGGUGCCGUAACUUCGGGAGAAGGCACGCUGAUGGUAAGUGAAGUGACUUGCUCACGGAGCUGAAAUCAGUCGAAGAUACCAGCUGGCUGCAACUGUUUAAUAAAAACACAGCACUGUGCAAACACGAAAGUGGACGUAUACGGUGUGACGCCUGCCCGGUGCCGGAAGGUUAAUUGAUGGGGUCAGCCGCAAGGCGAAGCUCUUGAUCGAAGCCCCGGUAAACGGCGGCCGUAACUAUAACGGUCCUAAGGUAGCGAAAUUCCUUGUCGGGUAAGUUCCGACCUGCACGAAUGGCGUAAUGAUGGCCAGGCUGUCUCCACCCGAGACUCAGUGAAAUUGAACUCGCUGUGAAGAUGCAGUGUACCCGCGGCAAGACGGAAAGACCCCGUGAACCUUUACUAUAGCUUGACACUGAACCUUGAGCCUUGAUGUGUAGGAUAGGUGGGAGGCUUUGAAGUGUGGACGCCAGUCUGCAUGGAGCCAACCUUGAAAUACCACCCUUUAAUGUUUGAUGUUCUAACGUAGACCCGUAAUCCGGGUUGCGGACAGUGUCUGGUGGGUAGUUUGACUGGGGCGGUCUCCUCCCAAAGCGUAACGGAGGAGCACGAAGGUUAGCUAAUCCUGGUCGGACAUCAGGAGGUUAGUGCAAAGGCAUAAGCUAGCUUGACUGCGAGAGUGACAGCUCGAGCAGGUGCGAAAGCAGGUCUUAGUGAUCCGGUGGUUCUGAAUGGAAGGGCCAUCGCUCAACGGAUAAAAGGUACUCCGGGGAUAACAGGCUGAUACCGCCCAAGAGUUCAUAUCGACGGCGGUGUUUGGCACCUCGAUGUCGGCUCAUCACAUCCUGGGGCUGAAGUAGGUCCCAAGGGUAUGGCUGUUCGCCAUUUAAAGUGGUACGCGAGCUGGGUUUAGAACGUCGUGAGACAGUUCGGUCCCUAUCUGCCGUGGGCGUUGGAAGAUUGAGAGGGGUUGCUCCUAGUACGAGAGGACCGGAGUGAACGCACCACUGGUGUACGGGUUGUGAUGCCAAUUGCAUUGCCCGGUAGCUAAGUGCGGAAGAGAUAACCGCUGAAAGCAUCUAAGCGGGAAACUUGCCUCGAGAUGAGUCUUCCCUGGGCACUUGAUGCCCCUGAAGGGCCGUUGAAGACGACGACGUAGAUAGGCUGGGUGUGUAAGCGUAGCGAUACGUUGAGCUAACCAGUACUAAUGACCCGAGAGGCUUAACCUUACAACACCGAAGGUGUUU
rnacentral:rRNA from 1 species